rnacentral:rRNA from 1 species
GCUCUGGGUUAGUCGGGUCCUAAGCUGAGGCCGACAGGCGUAGGCGAUGGAUAACAGGUUGAUAUUCCUGUACCACCUAUAAUCGUUUUAAUCGAUGGGGGGACGCAGUAGGAUAGGCGAAGCGUGCGAUUGGAUUGCACGUCUAAGCAGUAAGGCUGAGUAUUAGGCAAAUCCGGUACUCGUUAAGGCUGAGCUGUGAUGGGGAGAAGACAUUGUGUCUUCG